ensembl:lncRNA
UUGUUGCCUCACUGCCUUAUCUGGCAUUGACUUCGUAAUGGUUUAAUGAUCUACAGUACAACAAAACAGAAUGAGCUUUGGUGAUAACUACAUUAAUAUUUAAUUACUAUAAUACUGAUUUCUCACUAGAAAUCUGUUAAAAACAUAAUUUACACAAACUGACCACCAAAUGCAACUUUUAGACGCCAUCUUUAUUUUUUGCUCAACUAUCAUGGAAUGCACAGGACUGUGGAAUAUCAAAAGCAGCAAAGGAUACAUCUAUGCUUGGCUAAUAGUUGUGUAUGUUUGCCAUUCAACGUCUUUCACAGAUGGAUGCUGCAGUGAUUUAUGUUUUAAACGCAUUAAAUACUCAUUUCAAAUGAUCUGUUUAACAGACAAGGCAAUAGUGAUCACAUAAACACGAUGGGAACACUUUUUGUAAGCGAAGAAAACAAAAAUAAUGACUUUUUUCAAUAAUUCCUUUGUCAACUGUCUCCUCUGUGUCUCUCCAUGUCACCGUAUGCUGUCUAUGCUCUUCUGUCUCAUCCACACCACAAGGAUGCGCUGUUUUAUUUCAAAUCAAAGCUAAAUUCACAUCCUUGUGGCGUGGAUGACACAGAAGAGCAUACACAGCAUAGCAAUAUGGAGAGACACAGAGGAGACUGUUGACAAAGGAAUUAUUGAAUAAAGUCGUUAUUAUUGUUUUCUUCGCUUACAAAAAGUGUUCUUGUCACUUCAUAUAACCCAGAUUGCAUGUCUGAUGGCAGAUGGAGUAUUCUGAUGACGGCUUUCAUACCUUUUUUGGACCUUGACACUGUUAUUUACUGGCAGUCUAUGGGACAGUCUGAAGCCUCCAGGUUUUCAUCCAAAAUAUCUUAAAUUGUGUUCCGAAGACGAACAGAGCGUUUACGGUUUGGAAUGACAUGGGGGUAAGUGAUUAAUGACAAAGUUUUCAUUUUGGGGUGGAGUAUCCCUUUAAGUAUGUUUUAGUUCACAAUAAAAAUAGUGUUCCUGUAGCUCAAGUGGUAGAGCAUUGCGUUACGAAGAGCAAGGUUGGGGGUUCGAUUCCCUGGGAACACAUGAUAGGUAAAAAUUGAUAGCCUGAAUGCACUGUAAGUCGCUUUGGAUAAAAGUGUCUGCUAAAUGCAUAAAUUGAAUUUAAUUUAAUUUAAUAAAAGCUUGUCAGUACAUUCAGCAAUAUACUUUAAUCAUAUUAAGAAAACAGUAGAAGUAUUUUUGAAAUUACUUAUAAAGAUGUACAUAACUUAUACUUAAGUGGCUCAAAAUAUCACUCUAAAGUUCAGCUACAGUAAAUGGAUACAUUUGUUUUUAUUGCAAUUAACAUGCAGUGUGAACUGAACAUUAUAUUCAGUCUGCCCUUAUGCAUUGUAGGAGCCAUAGGAGCCAGCCAUAUGAUAUUUAUGUUUAAGUUAAUUUAGUGACCCCUGCUGGUGAAUUAUGAUAUUGUGGUCUUGAAAGGCCUUGGAACAGAAUGAGUUAAAUUGCACACCUGUGCCAAUUAGUGGCGGAAAAAGGAGUUUGAACUUGAUGUUGGAAAUGAAUGGACGCCAGCAGGCAUAUGGUUUUCAAUUUAUUUACUUAUGGAUUAUUUAUCAGUUAAAUCACAUUUUAUUUUUUACUGGAAUAAACCAAGAAUCUAUUGAAACCCCUGAGGCGUCUGAAGUGACUUACUGGAAGGCACUACAUAGUUGAAAACCUCUGCUAUUGGAAAGUUUGAUUCAAGGACUUCUAGGAAUACUUGAAAGACUGGGAGCAGCGUUCUCUAAAGUUUGUGAGUAAACCGCUGAAUUGGACCGGGCCGCUGAGCUCUUACAAUGACUUUGAACAUGAGCCAACGUGUUUACACCAUAAACAUAAAUUGAUCUCAUUGAUGUGUUGAACUUUGGAGUUGAUCCUUGAAAAAUGUCUGACGAAGAGACUGUAGAGCAGGAUUCGUCUGAAGAAAAACAACUGUUUAAGUUAAUUGCAACACGAAGGGGAAAGCUUGGUGUUUUAACACGCAAACGAAAUGAAAUUAACAGUCUUAUUGAAGCAGGACAGGACAAAGAAACUGUCAGGAGACAAGUUAACUCGUUUGAUGGAUUUUUUGCUGAGUUUAUUAGUUUACAAGCAACUGUACAACAAUUAAUAAAAGAUGAAUAUGAAAAGGAGGCUGAUGAUUUAGACUGGUACCAACCCAAAUAUCACCUUUUCAAAAGCUUCUUAGAUGAUGUCACGAACUGGCUCGAGGUUGAUCAAGAUGAUGAUAAUGAGAAAGACGAGCAGGACGAUAUUGGUACUGUUAAGCCCCAAGAUAGCGCAUCUCAAGUAGCGCACAGUGUCACGCAUAGCCGCAAAGCGACAAGCGCUCUCAGUGGCGCAUCACGAGAAUCUCUCACGCAUCUAAAGGCUGAAGCAGAAUGCGCGGCUAUUAGAGCAAAGGCACAGGCUUUGAAUAAUAAACUUGACCUUGAUAUUGAAGAAGCAAAUAUUAUUGCAAAAUUAAAGGCACGAAGAGAGAAAAUGGUCAUAGAUUCCGAACUGGCUGCCGCAGAGGCAAGGGUUAAAGUAUUCAGGGAAGCUGAAGAACAACGUUCAGUGUCGGGCGAAUAUAAAUACGGUACACCGACCGAAUAUAACCUCCCUGCAACAGCACAAAGACCAAUGAAAUCCAAGAGAGAAGGAUCAGCCCCUCGAAGUGACCCUAGGCAAACUUUAGGUGCACAACAAAAUGUAAACUCGAGCGUUUCAGUGCCAAUAGAAAGAGCGAUUCACCCAAAUGGCUAUGACAAAAACGUCACUGAUAUUUUAAAAAGUCAAACUCAAAUCACUGAAAUGUUAGUGAAACAACAAACACUUUCUCUUCUGCCAGAUAGAGAAAUUCCCAUAUUCGAUGGUGAUGUUCUUCAAUAUAGGACAUUCAUCAAAGCAUUUGAGCAAUGUGUUGAGAGUAAAACUACAAAUAUGGAUGACAGGCUAUAUUACUUACAACAGUAUACAAGAAACCAGCCCAGAAACCUUGUCAGUAGCUUCAUGCAUAUGGAUCCUACCGUUGCAUAUAAGGAAGCUAAAAGGCAGCUCGAAUACCAUUUUGGAAACUGCUAUAAAAUAGCAUCUGCUUACAUGAAUAAAGCCUUAAACUGGUCAACCAUCAAACCAGAGGAUGGAAAUGGGUUGCAAUCAUAUGCUCUAUUUUUACAUAGCUGCUACAAUACAAUGCAAGACAUUGAUGGAUUAAAAGAGCUUGAAAGUUCCACUAAUUUAAGACUCAUUGUGUCUAAACUCCCAUAUAAGCUGCGAGAUAAAUGGCGAGCAAAUGUGUGUAGCAUGCAAGAUAACAAACACAGAGCAACAUUCAAAGACUUAAUAGACUUUAUUGAUAGACAGUCCAGAGCAAUGCUUGAUCCAAUAUUUGGUGACAUCCACAUCUCAAUGGAGAGCAAAAUAACGUCAAGACCUAAACCACAAAAACCUAUCACCAAACCUAGUGGGAGGACCAGCUUUGCCACUACAGUUGCUCAAGCAUCUGAAAUAAAAAAGAACGAGUCACAAAAUGAACACAAACGGAAUGCAAAUAAGUGUUACCUUGAAAGACCUUGCUUAUUUUGUGAAAGAAAUCACACAUUUGAAAAUUGUGAAAAGUUUAAGUCCAAACCAAAUAGUGAGAAAAUAGAAUUCCUGAAAACAAGCGGGAUGUGCUUUGGUUGUCUAACAAAGGGACACGUUAGCAAAACAUGCAAAAAUAGAAUGAAAUGUGAAACAUGUUCUCUGUCUCAUCCAACUAUCCUUCACAUUCAUACUGGUAAAGUAAAAGAUGUAAUUAAAGAUGACUGCAUUGUAACUGGAAACAAACCAUUGAGUAGUGCCAUGGUAUCCGUAGAAGAUGAUGAACUAAUGGAGGUCGGUCAAUCAAAACAGUGCACUCUUGCUAUUGUGCCAGUGAAAGUAAAGGUCUCAAAUUCUGACAAAGUCAUAAAUACUCAUGCAUUUCUGGAUCCCGGUAGCUCAGCUACAUUUUGUACUGACUCACUGAAAAGAAAGUUAAACGUCUCUGGUAAAAACACCACAAUACUCUUGUGUACAAUGGGACAGGAGAAAAGUGUCCACAGCAGUAUAGUCUCUGGCCUUGAAGUCAGCAAUAUGGAAGGCCUGCUGUAUCAUAAACUCCCAGAAGUUUAUACUCAAACAAAAUUACCAGUUUCAAAACGACACAUACCAACACAAAAAUCACUAGAGAAAUGGAAAUACUUACAUGAGGUGAAGAUUCCACAAUUGGAUGCUGACAUUGAGUUGUUAAUAGGCACAAAUGCUGCAAAGCUUAUGGAGCCAUGGAAGGUGAUAAACAGUAGAGGUAAUGGGCCAUAUGCUGUUAACACACCCUUAGGAUGGGUCGUCAACGGGCUCAUGCAAGAAACAACAUGUCAAAUGCAAGGAAGUCACUCAUGUAUUGUAGUUAAUCGCAUAUCUGUAGCAGAUUUGAAUGACUUGUUGAUUAAACAGUAUCAUCAGGAUUUUCCAGAACUUGCAGCUGAGGAGAAAUCAGAGAUGUCAGUCGAAGACAAAAGGUUCAUGUCUAUGAUGGAAAGUUCAAAGGAACUGAGAAAUGGGCAUUAUUACUUACCGUUACCUUUUAAAGAAAAUGACGUAAUGAUGCCAAACAACUACCAACAGGCACAGCAACGUGUUAUGUCUCUGAAAAGAAAAUUUGACAAGAAUGAACGAUAUCAUAGAGAGUAUACUGCAUUUCUAGAAGGAAUGCUUGAAAAAGGUCACGCAGAAGCGGUGCCAGUUGAUGAACUGGAAACACAAAGUGGAAAGGUGUGGUACAUUCCACAUCAUGGAGUGCACCAUCCAAAGAAGGGCUCCCUAAGAGUUGUAUUCGAUUGCUCUGCAUCCUUCCAGGGAACAUCCUUGAAUAGCAAAUUAAUACAAGGUCCAAAUCUCACCAGUAAUCUGGUAGGUGUCUUGUUGCGUUUCCGCCAGGAGCCAAUCGCCCUUAUGGCAGAUGUGGAAAGCAUGUUUCACCAGGUAAGAGUUAUGGAGAAGCAUGUGGACUUUUUGCGCUUUCUAUGGUGGCCAAAUGGUGACAUAGGAUUACCUUUGAAAGAACACAGAAUGACAGUGCAUUUAUUUGGGGCAACAUCUUCACCAAGUUGUGCAAGUUUUGCCCUCAGACAAGCUGCCGAAGAUUUCAAAGAUCUCUUUUCGCCAGAAACGGUGGAAACAAUUAAGCAAGAUUUUUAUGUAGAUGAUUGCUUGAAAUCAGUGCCCACUGAAACUGAUGCUGUGAUGUUGCUAAAAGAGCUUGAAAAGGCUUGCUCAAUGGGAGGCUUUCGUUUGCACAAGUGGAUAAGUAACAGCAGAACAGUACUAAUGUCCAUCCCACAGGCAGCCAGAGCAAAGGAGGUCAAAGACCUUGACUUGGAAUCCAAUGAUCUUCCUACAGAAAGAACUCUUGGCAUACAAUGGCACAUAGAAAGAGACAAACUCACUUUCGCAGUGAGCCUGAAACAGCAGCCAUAUACUCGAAGAGGAAUACUGUCCAUCAUAUCCUCAGUAUACGAUCCUCUUGGCUUUAUCUGUCCAUUCGUCCUCACUGCUAAGAACAUUCUGCAAGAUCUUUGCAAGCUCAAUUUCGCCUGGGACAAAGACCUACCAGACCACUACAUAGAGAUGUGGCGUGAAUGGAUGGCAGGUCUAAGUUGCAUUGGGGAGCUCAGUGUCAACAGAUGUCUCAAGCCAAAGAGCUUUGGUCCAAUAACAUCUGCACAACUACACCACUUUAGUGACGCGUCUGAAAGUGGUUAUGGCUGUGUCACGUACCUUCGUCUCACAAAUUCAAAACUUGAAGUGCACACCUCAUUUAUAAUGGGGAAAUCACGAGUUGCACCACUGAAACAUACUACAAUGCCAAGAAUGGAACUCACUGCAGCAGUUCUUGCGGUAAGAAUGGAUAGAAUGAUCAAAGCAGAGUUACAACUUGCUCUUGAGAACUCCAUUUUCUGGACAGAUAGUACAUCAACAUUGAAGUACAUUCAGAAUGAGAACAAAAGAUUUAAAACAUUCGUGGCCAAUAGAGUGAACACAAUCAGAGAAUUUACCAAGGUAAAACAAUGGAGAUACAUAAACACUAAACAAAAUCCAGCAGAUUGUGCAUCUCGUGGUCUCAAGGCCAGUGCUCUUCUGAAUUCAAAGGCUUGGCUAAAUGGUCCAGAAUUCCUCAAAUGUCAUGAAUCUGAAUGGACAAAUUCCGACAUUUUCACACAAACGCAUGAAGGUGAUGAGGAUGCUGAUGUGGAAGUGAAGAAGGACGUUCUCAUCAUGAACUUAAUUGUAAAGGAAGAACAAAAUCCUACUCAUACAUUCAUACACUAUCACUCAAAUUGGAACAAUCUAACCAGAGCAGUAGCUUGGUUACUUAAGCUAAAGGACGUUCUCUUGCAACUAAGUCACAAACGAAAGGAAAUACUUACCAACACAAGUAAGAACUCAAAUGCAGAGAAAAAAUGUCUGAUGGAAAGAAAAAUGCAAAUCGUCAAAAAAUGUAUGAAUGUACAGCAGAUUACUUUAGAAGAUGUCAAAAGAGCAGAAAAUGCAAUCGUACGUUUUACACAAAUGGAGGCAUUUCCAGAAGAAAUCGAAACCUUGCAAAAAGAAAACACUCACGUCAGUCGUCAGAGCCACAUUCGUAAGCUUGAUCCUAUUCUGCAAGAUGGUAUACUUCAUACAGGAGGGAGAUUAAGCAAAAUGGCUAUGCCAGAGGACCAAAAACAUCCUAUGAUUCUUCCAAAACACCAUCAUGUGUCCAAACUGGUGUUGAAACACAUUCAUGAACAACUUGGCCACUGUGGAAGGAAUCACAUGUUAGCCAAGCUGCGACAGCAAUACUGGAUUCCAGCAGCAAAUUCCCUUGCUAGAAAAAUACGGUCUGAGUGUGUGUUCUGCAAACGCUUACAUUCAAACCUAGGAGAACAAAAAAUGGCAGACUUGCCAAAAGAAAGAAUAACACCAGAUUUACCACCAUUUACCUUUGUUGGAGCAGACUUCUUUGGUCCAAUUGUAGUAAAAAGAGGACGCAGUGAAGUGAAAAGAUAUGGUGUCAUCUUUACCUGUUUCACAACUCGAGCAAUACAUUUGGAAAUAGCCAAUUCACUUGACACUGAUUCAUGCAUCAAUGCAAUCCGCAGAUUCAUAUGCAGACGAGGGCAAGUGCGUCAAAUAAGAUCUGACAAUGGAACUAACCUGACAUCAGCUGACUCUGAACUAAAGAAGGCCAUAAAAGAGUGGAACCAAAACCACAAACUCCAAGUUGCUCUGCAACAAAAGGGCAUAGAAUGGAUUUUCAACCCACCUGCCGCUUCACACUUUGGAGGAGUAUGGGAGAGGUUAAUAAAACAGGUCAAACAAACACUUCUAUCACUAACAAAGGAUCAAAUUCUAGAUGAUGAAUCUCUUCACACUUUCAUCUGUGAGGUAGAAGCCAUAAUGAAUAGUCGCCCACUUACCACAAAUCCGGAUAGUCCAAAUGACCUUGAACCUUUAACGCCCAACCACCUUUUACUUCUUAAAGGGCAACCUACAUUACCACCUGGCUUAUUUCAGAAAUCAGACACGUAUAGUAGACGUAGAUGGAAGCAAAUACAAUACUUAGCUGAUAUAUUUUGGAAAAGAUGGGUUAGAGAAUAUCUUCCAAACCUACAAGAGAGACAGAAAUGGUUUAAAAAGAAAAGAAACUAUGCAAAUGGUGACAUUGUGUUAAUUGCAGACCCUACUGCCCCUAGGGGAUCUUGGAUGUUAGGGAAGGUUAUUGACACAAAGAAAGAUUCAAAGGGAAUUGUUCGUAGUUUGACUUUAAAAACAAAGACAAGUGUUAUAGACAGACCAAUUACAAAGGUUUGUUUAUUGAUGGAAAAUGACAUGUAGAUAUGAAUGACCAAUGUAUAUGUGAUGAUUACUUUACCUUGUAAGAACUUAUAUGUACUGAUCUUUACAAGCGCACAAUGGACCAAGGACUAUUCGAGCAAGAAAUUUCUUGCAACGUGCACACAUGCGCGUAUACACAUAAAUACACACUGAAAUUGACCUUUGAAUGCACAAUGCCUCUUGUGGCAUAAUGGACUCAUGUUUUGUUGUUUACAUUAUAUAUUGAACAAGAAGGACUCUAAAAAAGAACUAUUGAUGAACUUUAAUUCGAACUGAUAUUGUUGAAUGAACUGAAAAAUUUGAUAUUUUUAUUUGAAACAAACAUUUAUGUAUUGUAUACGUGUGAAUGAUUCUGAUUAUUGAUGAUUUGACAAAUUUAUCUUUUCUGUGUAUAUUAUAAUGUAUGGCUCCAUGUUUUCUGUUUAGUUAUUAUUGUACCUAUAUAGCCGGUAGCAAUAAGAGGGCCGGUGUGUAGGAGCCAUAGGAGCCAGCCAUAUGAUAUUUAUGUUUAAGUUAAUUUAGUGACCCCUGCUGGUGAAUUAUGAUAUUGUGGUCUUGAAAGGCCUUGGAACAGAAUGAGUUAAAUUGCACACCUGUGCCAAUUAGUGGCGGAAAAAGGAGUUUGAACUUGAUGUUGGAAAUGAAUGGACGCCAGCAGGCAUAUGGUUUUCAAUUUAUUUACUUAUGGAUUAUUUAUCAGUUAAAUCACAUUUUAUUUUUUACUGGAAUAAACCAAGAAUCUAUUGAAACCCCUGAGGCGUCUGAAGUGACUUACUGGAAGGCACUACAUGCAUAUUCAUUCACACUUUAGUUUGGGGACCAAUUCUUGCUUUAAACUGCUAUUAACUACAAUGUUUUCUUCAAUAAACUCAUAAUUUGCUGUUUAUUAAUAGUUAGUAAGGUA